CAGUGGUUCAAGUUCAUCCCUGUUUGGCAUCUGUUAGGAUUUUUAGCGUGGCUGGGAAAUAGACGGUCCCUCUGGCCGGUCGGACUGACUUUUUUUCUGCUAUUUUUGGAAGGUCCUGAACCAGCCCGGCUCUUCCGUCAGCUGUGACCUGCCUCACACCACAUCUGCAGACAUGAUCAUCAGACUGGGCAGACUGACCCCUGGAUACUUCCGCCUCCUCCAGAGGCAAGUUGCAGGUGAGGUGCAGACGCAGCCUCAAGACCGCGCCGUCAACCAGAUAGCCAUGAUGCUGGCCAUCAUGGGCCUGAGUUUGUCCUACUACAGCGCCAAACAGAUGACGGAGAAGGUCCAAGCCCAGCCUGCACCCUGAAGUGACUUGAUCGUGGAGACGAUGGACGAACCAAUGAGAAGUGAAGGAGGUGGAGCGAGGAGGCAGAAGUGGAGACGCAGCAGUGUCUCUCAGGACUCGGCACUUUUCUCACCUCACAGUCAUACUCACACUCAGACACUGAAAUUUCUGGGAUCCCUCAUUCACCAUCCGAAGAGCUGUCAGGACUGCAAUUAAGUGUUUUCUAUACGUUCUGCUGCCAGGACCUUCAGGGAUUUGCGGGGACGGCUCGCUCUGAGUCAUGGAUAGGACGGAUUUUUAUAGUCUGGUUUGGGUGGGUGAUCAAAACCAGCCGACUGGGUCUGAACGUUAGUCGUUACAACGGUACAUGCUUGCAAGAUGCCAUUUUCUGAAUUAAAUAAAGGAAAGAAGCAAAUAGUUAAAUAACAGUAAUGCCUAAUUAAGGGAUGGCAGACCACAAUUGAGAUGUACCUUGUAACGAAGUGAUGGCAGGCCCAGAACAUGGUUAAAGGGGAUGAAAAGUUAGCUCAACCCUUUUUAGUUUUUUUUGUUUCCUUCAGCAAGAGAAUCUUGCAGAGCCUUCUGAACAGGUUAGGGGCUGUAUUCAACAACAUAUAUCUACACAUGUGAACUAUAUCUGUCAGGUGUCUGAGAUUCAGUGAAUAUUUGCACAAAACUGCAGGAUUCUUUUUAAAUACUACAGUGAAUUUGCAAAGGGACUUACUCACUUUAUCUUUUUUUUGUUUUUCCUGUGAUUUCACUGUUUUAACAUUAAUGUAUGAAGUCCUGUAUGUCUGACUACCUUGAUAAGCACCCUGGUUAAGAACCCUUUUCUGCAAACAUUUAACUUUACUGAAAUGCAUGGGGUGUGACCUUUAAUCAGUUCAUGUGUCUGUCUUGUUUUUAUUGAUGAAUGAAUGUAUUACUUUAUUUUGUAAUGAUUUAAUAAAGCUGUGAAUAUUUUGAAAGAUA